rnacentral:rRNA from 1 species
UACAGAGGGUGCAAGCGUUGUUCGGAAUUAUUGGGCGUAAAGGGCGCGUAGGCGGUGCGGUAAGUCACCUGUGAAACCUCUGGGCUUAACUCAGAGCCUGCAGGCGAAACUGCCGUGCUUGAGUGUGGGAGAGGUGCGUGGAAUUCCCGGUGUAGCGGUGAAAUGCGUAGAUAUCUGUAGGAACACCCGUGGCGAAGGCGGCUCGCUGGACUGCAACUGACGCUGAGGAACGAAAGCUAGGGGAGCAAACAGG